rnacentral:lncRNA from 1 species
UCAACCAAUGGGCUUGGAGCAUUGAGGCCAUUGCCCUAUUCUGUGUUCUAGUGCGGUUCUGGUUAUCCCUCCUCUGGCUUAGUACAGAGCAGGCAUGUUGGAUUUGGGGCUUUUGUUUGGUUUUGUUUGGAGACAGAGUCUCACUCCUGUCACCCAGACUGGAGUGCAGUGGUGUGGUGCAAUCCCUGGCUCAAUGCAACUCUGCCUCCCGGGUUCAAGCGAUUUCUCUUGCGUUAGCCUCCUGAGUAGCUGGAUUACAGGCCACCUGCCACCACGCCCAGCUAAUCUUUGUAGUUUAGUAGAGACGCAGUUUCACCAUGUUGGACAGACUGGUCUUGAACUCCUGAUCUCAAGUGAUCCACCCACCUCAGCCUCCCAAAGUGCUGGGAUUACAUGCGUGAGCCACUGUGCAUGGUCUCUUGCUGUUUUUAUACUUUCUCUAUAUCCGUAUAGAGAUGUUUCCCAUGUAAGUUUUUGUUUCUUUGAAUUUCUCAUUUUUAUUACCCCUGCAUCAUCUGCUACCCUGAAGGAUCUGGAGGUAAGAGGCCCUGGGCCAGGGUGCAGUGACCCUGAAGGCCAGCCCUCCAACCUCCUCUCACAGCGGGAGCUGGGUGCCCCUCUGCCAACUGAGACAGUCCACACACACCCCAGCCCUAAUGAUUGUUCUCUCUACCUCUCCCCGCAAACCUCCUCCAACUCCACCUCUCUGCAUGCGCCUCAGAGCCGGUACCAAGAACUGGAAGUAGCCCUGGACUCAAGCUCCGCAACAAUCAAUCAACUCAAUGAAAACGUAGAAUCAUUGCGUAUUGGAGAGUUGGAGCAGGCUCCCUCUGCUGUCUCCAUGCAGCAGCAGGAAGAGGACAGGAGGCAGCCUGGGGUGAGUCAGCUGCUGUGGGUGAGUUGGGGGCACCGUGGGGAGCGAGCACUGGACGCAGAGCUCGGAGGCCACACAGCAGCUCGAGGACUGGAUGGUGAAGAUGAGAAGUUUCGAUGUGGGGAGCCCAGGCCAUUCCACACAGUGCCCCUUAAAAGGGCAAGGGGUAGGCUCAGUAUACAACUCGGUCAGUAA